rnacentral:rRNA from 1 species
AGCGAACGCUGGCGGCAGGCCUAAUACAUGCAAGUCGAACGGUCUCUUCGGAGGCAGUGGCGGACGGGUGAGUAACGCGUGGGAAUAUGCCCUUUGGUACGGAACAACUGAGGGAAACUUCAGCUAAUACCGUAUGUGCCCUUCGGGGGAAAGAUUUAUCGCCAUUGGAGUAGCCCGCGUUGGAUUAGGUAGUUGGUGGGGUAAAGGCCUACCAAGCCUACGAUCCAUAGCUGGUCUGAGAGGGUGGACGGCCACACUGGGACUGAGACACGGCCCAGACUCCUACGGGAGGCAGCAGUGGGGAAUAUUGCGCAAUGGGGGAAACCCUGACGCAGCGACGCCGCGUGAGCGAAGAAGGCCUUCGGGUUGUAAAGCUCUGUUGUAAGGGACGAAAGAAUAAGGGAGUAACUGCCCUUAAAGUGACGGUACCUUACCAGCAAGCCCCGGCUAACUACGUG